CCUCCUGCCACAGUCCAGGGUAGGAGAUACUUCUCCAGGCUCUCACUUAUGGGGGCUUUCCUGCUGGCUACAUCACUGAAAUGGAAUCUCCUAGUGGCCCUUCUCCCUCUACAGCUCUGGUGUUACACUGAAAAACUAGAAGUUUCAAAACAGACAAGGGAAAAAGAGAAACAUCAGAAAGUCUGAUUAAAGUAGAAGCAUCAUAUUUCUAUCAACGUAUCCACUGUGCUUGGACUCUGUAAUAUUCACCGGCAGGAAAACCCAAGGGAAUGACUACUAUGACAUCUGAUGGCAUUAUAGUAUACAUAGCCUUGGAAUCAGAAGACCAAGAAACAAUUUAACUCUGCCCCUCUAGAGCUCUGAGAACUUGGGCAAGCCUUUUACCCUCUUGAAUUUUUGCCACCUUCAAUGAGAAAGACUGAAACAAAAAACUCAGAAGAAAGAAAGAGACUGAGAUAGCAAAUAUGACAAACUGUUAAAAAUUCAUGAAUCUGUUAUGGAAUACUAUGCAGCCAUAAAAAAGGAUGAGUUCCUGUCCUUUGCAAGGACGUGUAUGAAGCUGGAAACCAUCAUUCUGAGCAAACUAAAACAGGAACAGAAAACCAAACACCACAUGUUCUCACUCAUAAGUGGGAGUUGAACAAUGAGAACACAUGGACACGGCGGGGUGGUGGGAACAUCACACACCGGGGCCUGUCAGAGGGGAGGGGGCUAGGGGAGAGAUAGCAUUAGGAGAAAUACCUAAUGUAGAUGAUGGGUUGAUGGGUGCAGCAAACCACCAUGGCAUGUGUAUACCUAUGUAACAAACCUGCAUGUUCUGCACAUGUAUCCCAGAACUUAAAGUAUAAUAAUAAAAAGAGAGAUUAAAAAAAUUGGUGAAUCUGGGCAAAAUGUACACAGGAUUUUUCUGUACUGUUCUUGCAACUUUUCUACAGAUUUGAAAUGUUACAAAAUAAA
rnacentral:lncRNA from 1 species